UCUUGCUGCUGUGCACAAAAUGUCUGUGAUAAGGAUGCAGAGAGAUGCUGUGGUCACAUCUUCCUUCCUCUGGCUGACAGCCUCUACCUAAGAAGCUCUGCUGAUCCUGAAAUAAAACAGAGAAGUUGGAAAACUCAUAUAGAAAAGCCUGCACUGAGUCAUGGCAGAACAGAUAAACAGGAUAUUUAAGCACAUCUGCAGUUGCAUAGGAGGAGCACAGAACUGCUCAGGUGCUUAAGGACCAAAGUGAAAGAAGAGUUAAGGAAGGAGACUGGUGCCUCUGACUGUCUUUGAACUCAGCGCAGUCCUGGGAAAAGUGAGUUGAUG
rnacentral:lncRNA from 1 species